rfam:Camelus ferus unplaced genomic scaffold scaffold89, whole genome shotgun sequence.
GAGGGAAUAGCCCAGUGGUAGAGUCCAUGCUUAGCAUGCACAAGGUCCUGGGUUCAAUCCCCAGUACCUCCA